UACGUAGGGGGCAAGCGUUGUCCGGAUUUAUUGGGCGUAAAGAGCGUGUAGGCGGCCAUACAGGUCCGUUGUGAAAACUGGAGGCUUAACCUCCAGACGUCGAUGGAAACCGUAUGGCUAGAGUCCGGAAGAGGAGAGUGGAAUUCCUGGUGUAGCGGUGAAAAUGCGCAGAUAUCAGGGAAGAACACCCCUGGCGAAGGCGGCUCUCUGGGGACGG
rnacentral:rRNA from 1 species